rnacentral:rRNA from 1 species
GACAGAGGGUGCAAACGUUGUUCGGAAUUACUGGGCGUAAAGCGCGUGUAGGCGGCUUGGCAAGUCGGGUGUGAAAUCCCCAGGCUUAACCUGGGAACUGCAUCCGAUACUGGAUGGCUUGAAUCCGGGAGAGGGAUGCAGAAUUCCAGGUGUAGCGGUGAAAUGCGUAGAUAUCUGGAGGAAUACCGGUGGCGAAGGCGGCAUCCUGGACCGGCAUUGACGCUGAGGAGCGAAAGCUAGGGGAGCAAACGGG